rnacentral:rRNA from 1 species
AUUGAACGCUGGCGGCAGGCCUAACACAUGCAAGUCGAACGAGUGGCGGACGGGUGAGUAAUGUCUGGGAAACUGCCUGAUGGAGGGGGAUAACUACUGGAAACGGUAGCUAAUACCGCAUACCAUCAGAUGUGCCCAGAUGUGCUUAGCUUUUUGGUGGGGUAACGGCUCACCAAGGCGACGAUCCCUAGCUGGUCUGAGAGGAGGACCAGCCACACUGGAACUGAGACACGGUCCGGACUCCUACGGGAGGAAGCGGUGGGGAAUAUUGCAAACGGGGCGAAAGCCUGAUGCAGCCAUGCGGCGGGUAUGAAGAAGGCCUUCGGGUUGUAAAGUACUUUCAGCGGGGAGGCGUUAACCGAAGAAGAAGCACCGGCUAACUCCGUGCCAGCAGCCGCGGUAAUUG